GAAAGUCAUUAAUCUACUGAAAAGAUUCUGUCAAACUGAAAAUCUCCAAGACUUAACGGAAGAAACUCCCUGGCUGUGGUUUGUGGUUUCCGGCAAGUAGAGUUGUUAGUGCGUAUAUAACUCCAUUUCACCUCUUUCCUGACAAACUCAAUCUCUGAUUAGAUCAUGAAGAUAGACGUAGAAAAUUAGCCUGACCUGUGACACUGACGGUCACAGCUAGGUAUCCAGCAACCACUUUGAAUAGAAGGUUUAUUGUUAGUGAGAUUAGUCUUUCUGGUAGGGAUACGUGGGCCAAAGUGCCCCAGGCUCACAUAUAUACGAAUGCACGAGGAAAAUUCACACUUGUGAUUUCUCCUCAACGCAUCUCCAGCAUCUCCAGGCACUGUUUGUGUGUUGGCAACACUACUGAGGUUCGGGAGCCGCCUAUGGGCAAGAUGGCUCUCGAAGGUUGUCGUUAAGGUGGCGAGAUUAGAAUCCCAGGGCGAGAUUCCUCGGGAGGCGCCAUAGACGACACACUGCCACGAGUCAACCCUCCCCGGGCGCUCCUAGCGAGCGAGUCUUUAGCUUGGCGGUCGCUGUAAACAACUUUGCCCCGUCUUGUGAUUGUUGUCCAUCUAUUGUUCUGAGCUAUUUGCAUGGAGCAGUAUCGGUCCAUGCUUGGGGAUAACUAGCAGAAAUAUAGUAUCCCAGGUUAAGUAUUGAACCACUGAAUGAGACUUAAAAGUGCCAUGUUGUUCCUUCCGAACUAACAGGAUGUAUUGCAUGUUGCUCUAAUUGUGGAAUUUGUCUAGUGUGUUAUGUAUUUAUCGGUAUUGUCCAUGAAAUAAUAAACUGAGUGUAUAAUGUUAUAACCAAGAAUUGAACAUGUAAUUUGUUACUUGUAAAAGUAAGACCUGAGGGCCCAGUGUUAUCUGACCGUGUGUAGUAACUCCUGAAUCUUACUUGUCAGAGAAAUAAUACAACAGUUGUCUAAUGAAGUAAUGAGUAAUUGAAGUUGUUAAAUGUUAUAAUAAGUACUUGGAGUUGCUUAAUGAUAUAAUAGCGAGCCGAUCUUUUGGUGAAGAAUAUAAAUGAAAAGAGACGUGACGGAUCGCCCAAGCGGCUAACAAGCCUAUCAGUGGCGAAGAGGAUAAAAGUAAAAAUAAGUAAUUGCGGAUCUGUUUUGUCAAUGGUACAGUAAGACCUGAGGGUUCAGUCUUGUCUGAAUAAACUUAAUAGUUGGUUAAUGAUGGAUUGCCGGUCUAUUUUUUGAUUGGUACAGUAAGACCUGAGGGUCCAGUCUUGUCUGAGUGAAUUUAAGUAACAUCUUAUUCACUCGCUGUGUUAAUAAAUAUUAAAUUAGUAAUUUAUGAGUAUCACCACUCUAUUCCUUCUAAACAUUGGUUCCCGGAAAAUAAUACUCGCGUGCCUAUAAACACUCUAUCACACUACCCAAAAGCUUUCCGUGGGAUAUGUUAUAUUCUAAUAAAAGUCUGGGUGGUGGCAGGCUACCGUUGUAAGUAUAAUAAGUGUUGUAUUGAGAAUAACAUGGUUCCCAGACUAAUCCAUGGUUGAGAAUAUAAUAAAACAGAGUAUACUUCAGCAAGGUAAGGACAUAUAAAUUCAGAAAAUAUAAUAUAGGCUACAUUAUAUGAAAAGAAAUGAAAGACUUGGAAACUAUGAGCAGAGAAAUAUCAGAAUUACUUAUAUAAGAAUAUAAGCAAGAAUAUAAGGUAUAUAUAGAUAAAGAAUUGAAGAAUAAUAACAAAAGAAUAUCUGGAUGAUAAAAUAUGAAGUAAAGGGAAAUCCGCCCAUUACACAACCACCCAACGCUGAGCGCCAUAUUUCUAGUCGCUUUCAUGAGCCGUUAACUAGGAAUAUAGCAUGUGUAAACACUACAGUUCGUGUCAUAUGGCCACACAAGCGCGGGUGCCAUAUACACUAUUUCACAUAAUUAGAAAGACGGUUUAGAGAGAUAUUUAGUUGUUACUUUAUACCGGCACAAUAAUAUAUUGUAAAAUAUCUUUGUUUUAUCAAAUUGAACUUUAGUAUCUGUUCGAAACAAAUUACAGCUACGUUUUUCAUCUGUGUACUUGGCAACAAUGUUUGCGCGGUUGUUAUCAAACAUGGAGAGGAGAGAACGUUCUGUAGCCCUUUUAGUAACCCAGCACAUAGCACUUUUGCUCCUUAUCGAGCAAAGGCCAGUCGUCGAGGACAGGUGUACUUGUACUGUAACACAAUAAAUGAUAGCAAAAGAAAGGCUUGGGAUGAAAUUACUGCCUCAUUCAACGCCAGCAACACACCAAGUGUCAUGGUCACAUUGACUGCUGGUCUGUUUUAAACUGUUGAUUCUCAUUAUACUUCACGUUCGCAAAACAUCCCAAGGAAGAAACGUGUUUUACACCAAGGAUCCCUCUCCGUAAGUCCCCAUGUGAACACAGUUGUCAAUACGUUUAUUCCACUUUCUACUGGCAAGCUCAAUCUCUAAUUAGUUUAUGUAAAUCAACUUAAGUAAUUCGCCAGACCUUUGUCAACUGAGGCCUUCCCGUGACUCCCUCCAACAUUUGUUCUCAGAUAUGUAAGACAGUGUUCCCUGCCGAUAUAGCCAUUCAGUUUGACUUAGUGAAUUUUGUGAGUAUCAGUGUUCAUGUUGUGACAGUGAAAUUGUCAUUUACUCAGUGUGAGAAUUACUAGUAAUGAAAAUGUCACCUGUCGUUGCCAGACAAGAGAUUGUUGUAAUUGAGUCAUCACCAUGCUUCCCGUGACGCUCUCCACCAUUUGUUCUCAGAUCCAGUGUGUGAGUUACUUGAACACCCCACCGACUGCCCGGAGUCGGUGGAUACCUAGCAGUUAGCUAUAUUUGGACGAUGGCGCCGAUUCGGCAGGAUUCACAUUGCUCCAGUCUGCAUUCUGGGAAGUAGACCGAUCAUAACAGCGGUCGUCAGUUGUGAGACGCCAGUGUCCUACCCUGGGACACUCCUGGAAGUUAUAUGGUCCACAGUGUUUGUUGUAUAUGCUUGGGGAUAAUUAUCUGGAAUAUAAUUAUCCCAUGUUGGGAAGUGAACCCAUGUAAUUUGUUGGUAUCAGUAUUAACGUGUUGUGUGUUGUGAGUGCAUCUCAUUUGUACUAACAACAGUCUAGUGAAGUAUCAAAUGUAAGUUUGUCUUGUAAUGUAAGGUAAUGUCUUGUACAACCAGUAAUGCGUGAGAAGUAAAAGUAUCCACUUGGAACUAACAGAGAGAAGCCAAGGAGUUGAUCCUGGUAACUGUUAACUUAAUUUUACACCAAUAAAGGUUGUGAAUAAUAAGAGUAAAGUAUCUAAGUGAAUUGCAGUUGAGCUAAGCCAAAGUCUGCACCUUGGAGUUGUAUGUUAAUGCCAUCUUUUUCCUUACUUUGAUUUCAUUUUAAUAAACCAUUUCUUAGAGUA